rnacentral:rRNA from 1 species
CCUGCGAAAAGCUGCGGGGAGCUGGCAAACAAGCUUUGAUCCGCAGAUAUCCGAAUGGGGAAACCCGGCCCGUAUGGGUCAUCUGUUACUGAAUACAUAGGUAACAGAAGCGAACGCAGUGAACUGAAACAUCUAAGUAGCUGCAGGAACAGAAAUCAACCGAGAUUCCCAAAGUAGUGGCGAGCGAAAUGGGAUCAGCCUUGUACUCUUUAGCAGUAUUGUUAGCAAAGCGGAAUGGAAAG